GCAGCGUGAAACACUCCAGGGAGGGGAGAAAGCUUCCGUAACCUUACGGUAAACUUCCGAUCCCCGUAACUUCUCCGUUCGAGCUCCAAUCGCCGCACUGUUUGCGGCCAUGCGUUCACCGCGUCGAGCUCUACAUUUUUACCGGAACAAUUUCAUAAGAUCCAAUUAGCUUGAGGAAAACGUUCACUCUUGCUUAUGUGAAGUUUGGGUAAGAUGCAGGUCGAGAGGCAUCUCGUUAGGCGUCUGGACCCUUGAAGCGGAGUGGUUACAGGGUUAUUUUGUUAUGCUAUGAUGUGUAUAUGUGUACUUGAUUUUCUCUCCGCAUAACUUGUUCUUUUGAUCCUCCUAGAGGUUUAUGGAGAGGCAGGAUUGUGUAUAUGUACUUUUGGGUUUUGGAUAUGUAUGUAUAUAUAUAUGUAAAU